rnacentral:lncRNA from 1 species
UCUCCAGUUUAUUGAGUCUGUCUUCUCCUAUAUGGCCUUGCCUAAGGUGCAACAGAUAUUUUUGGCUAAUCCUAUCUUUAAGUCUUUUAAACCCUAUGGCAUUCAUAGUUUGCUUGUUAAUAUGAACACUCGCAUCUAUAUGCAAAUGAUAAAGAUCGUUAAUCAAGAAAGCACAUACAACAACCUUAUUUUCAAAAUAAAUUG